AUUGAACGCUGGCGGCAGGCCUAACACAUGCAAGUCGAACGAGUGGCGGACGGGUGAGUAAUGUCUGGGAAUCUGCCUGAUGGAGGGGGAUAACUACUGGAAACGGUAGCUAAUACCGCAUACCAUCGGAUGAGCCCAUAUGGGAUUAGCUUGUUGGUGGGGUAACGGCUCACCAAGGCGAAGAUCCCUAGCUGGUCUGAGAGGAUGAUCAUCCACACUGGAACUGAGACACGGUCCAGACUCCUACGGGAGGCAGCAGUGGGGAAUAUUGCACAAUGGGCGCAAGCCUGAUGCAGCCAUGCCGCGUGUAUGAAGAAGGCCUUCGGGUUGUAAAGUACUUUCAGCGGGGAGGCGUUACCCGCAGAAGAAGCACCGGCUAACUCCGUGCCAGCCGCCGCGGUAAUUC
rnacentral:rRNA from 1 species